rnacentral:ncRNA from 1 species
AAUUACUUUAUGGGGUGCCAUAUAGGCUGAGAUAUACCCGUUGAACCUGUCCGGUAAUUCAGAAAGGGAAGAAUGGAUAACAUAAAU